GGACUACCCGGGUAUCUAAUCCCGUUCGCUCCCCUGGCUUUCGCGCCUCAGCGUCAGGAGGGGUCCAGCAGCUCGCUUUCGCCACCGGCGUUCCUUCCGAUAUCUACGCAUUUCACCGCUCCACCGAAAGUUCCAGCUGCCCCUACCCCGCUCGAGGCAUCCAGUAUCAGAGGCACUUCCCCGGUUGGGCCGGGGGCUUUCACCCCUGACUUGGAUGCCCGCCUACGCGCCCUUUAAGCCCAGUGAAUCCGAACAACGUUCGCACGGUUCGUCUUACCGCGGCUGCUGGCAC
rnacentral:rRNA from 2 species